GACGAACGCUGGCGGCGUGCUUAACACAUGCAAGUCGAACGGAAAGGCCCUGCUUUUGUGGGGUGCUCGAGUGGCGAACGGGUGAGUAACACGUGAGUAACCUGCCCUUGACUUUGGGAUAACUUCAGGAAACUGGGGCUAAUACCGGAUAGGAGCUCCUGCUGCAUGGUGGGGGUUGGAAAGUUUCGGCGGUUGGGGAUGGACUCGCGGCUUAUCAGCUUGUUGGUGGGGUAGUGGCUUACCAAGGCUUUGACGGUUAGCCGGCCUGAGAGGGUGACCGGCCACAUUGGGACUGCGAUACGGCCCAGACUCCUACGGGAGGCAGCAGUGGGGAAUAUUGCACAAUGGGCGGAAGCCUGAUGCAGCAACGCCGCGUGCGGGAUGACGGCCUUCGGGUUGUGAACCGCUUUCGCCUGUGACGAAGCGUGAGUGACGGUAAUGGGUAAAGAAGCACCGGCUAACUACGUG
rnacentral:rRNA from 1 species